CAUGGAUUGGCACACCAGUGCACUGCGAAUUAAGCUCCAAACCCGAUGCUCCCGAUGCGUCUGUGAACAACUCAAAGUCCGUGAAAGCUGUCGUGCGCUCCCGGAAAUACACCCACCCAUUAAAGUCCAUUUGAAAAACCUCCCACACAUCCAGAUUGGCUUUCAUGGAUGCCGACACCCGAAUGAAAUGAUGCGGUGAUGGUACA